UAAAAAUAAGUUUUGUGAGACCCGAUCCUUAUUUGGCAUUGUCAACAUUUUAAUUUGAGUUUUCUUGUAUUUACUUAUUUUACUUUUAUUUUCCCCAUCAUUUUGGGUUUUUACCACCUUAUUCUUUUACCCCAAAUUUAUCUGCCCAAAGCUGAGCCUUCUCCUUCACACGCAAAACUCAGCUUUUCCUCUUUCCUUGUUCACGUCAGAGUUGGACAGAGAGAAAGGGAGCCUCGUUCAGCUCUUCCCCUCCACGUUUCCAUCAUGCAAAGGGCAACUCCUCCAAGAACAUCAUCUCAGACCUUCAAAAGAGAGAACCCAGGCCAUAAAUCGUCAUUCACCCUUCUCUUCUCACCUUUCCUCUCGUCCCUGGACACAUCAGUCCGUUUACGAGCCUCGAAACACCUAGUUCGAGAUCUCCGAUCAGAAAACGUUCUUCAUCAAAGUUGUUCGCCUAUGUCUCCUCUAUCUAGCCUCCAAAUUUCAGCUCCAUCGGAAUUGAUUUGAGACCUGUACACCCCUCGAAGCGGAAGCUGUUCCGGAUUUCUGCUUAAACUUCCUCUCUUGCUCUACCCGAAUCCCCAACACCUUGCUUGAGACUGAUACCAACAGUUGGUAAGAUUCUUAAACCAUCAAGUUCCCCUUUGUUUCCUCGAUUUUAGACUCAAUACGUUCAAAACACCUCAUUUACAUAUUGAGCAGUCUCUGUUUCACUUUGCAUGUUCGAGAUUGAGCAAACUUCUUGGCCUGUGGCUGGACUCGAUCCAAUCAGCUCCUUCAGCUCUCUUUCCUGUUGAAAUCCUCAAGAGAAGCUCAUCUUUUUUUUGUUUGUUAGUUUUUGGAUCUUGUGAAGUGGUGGUUGCUACAAGGUUGCAUUGAGGCCAAGUGCUGCAAGAGAAAGCUCGAGUUCCAGGUAGGGGAUGCCUUUAACUCUAUCUAUGCUUUUCUUGCAUAUACAAUGUUUUAUAUGAGGCCUCUUGCAUGGUUUUUGGAAAUUAUCUGUUUUACAAUUGAAAUGGUUUGCGUGGAUUGGAUUGAUGUGUUGGCAAUUGAUGGGGAUGUAAGGAGAGGUCAGUUCCUCCUUGAGCCACCGGUGGUGGGCAGUGUGCACCAUGCCCUUGUUAUCUCCCCUUUGUCUCUAGCCUUGUGAUUAUUGAAUUCCGGAAAGUGAUUGGCUAGAUGGACGGUUGUGAUGAAAGUGUGAAAGAUGAUCAAUUGCCGUGGGAUUGUAAUUACGUGGUGACGAUCACGUGGAAGCGCAAACCGUUUGUUUUGCAGGCUGUUGUUGUCGAAGCUUGGGUACGGAGGAUAAUCCUUGGAGGCCAAAAUUUGUUUUGUUUAAAGUUUAUUUUAUUUGGCUUGUUUGAUUUCGUUAAAUUUUUGUAACGUUAUGUAUGGUUGAUGAUGUGUGUGAUUGCUUACCACCAAAGUGGAACCCUAGGGUUAGAACCUCCAUUUGAGUUUAGGUCCUAGUGGGCUAGACCUAGAAGACUCACGUAAAUUACCAUCUAAUGAACUUAAUGCAAACUUGGGCUAAGAACUAAAAAUUGACAUAGGUUCUAAAACUCAACACAACACCACCUUCCUUUCCUCUUCCUCGCCUAGUUCGUAAUCUUGUGAUUACGAGCCAAGCCCACUAUACAAGCCCAAAAAUUUCGGGCUUAUAGAUUUCUUGUUUUCCAACCUAAAGGCCUUGUCUCUUUGAGGAAUUCUAGGCCCAAAACACUUACUCCAAGUGUUGCGGGUGUAAGGGUUCCUUGGGGAAGCGGCGCUGUGGUAAUCCGGUCUCCGGGUCGCCACAUUAAUGACCAUCGUAUUCUGCUGCAUCAGUACCGCCACGUCGGCGAACCAAUCCAGAUCGACCCGAAACCCCAAUUCUUGUUCUCCACGCCAGCGGCCAUUUUUCUUUUCCAUCACUAUUCUUCUUCUUCACUUCUGGUUUUUGUCAACUUGGCCAUCAAAAACCACCAUUUCAACCAAACCCAAAAUCCAAAUCACCAUUUUGAGCAACACCCAAAAACCUCAGAAUUUGAAAAAAUGGUAGUUUUCAGUGAAAAGUUAAAAAAUGGUAAUUUUAAGUGAAAAGUUUCUAAAUUGAGGCUUGAUGUGGAGAGAGAAAGUGGGAUUUGAGUGGGAGAGAGAGAAGUAGGCUGUGAAAAUAAGAGGGGAGUGGUUUAGCGGCGAAUUUCCGAACUGAUUGGGAAACAGAUGGGUUGUGGAGCUUGAUCGGAAUGGGAUUGGUGGGUUGAGGAAGUAGAAAGUAGGCAAAACGAAAAAGAAAAAAAGAAGAAAUAGCAAAAAAGAAAUUAAAAAGGAAAAAUAAAAAAGGAAAAAAAGAAAUUAAAAAGCAAAAAAGAAAUUAAAAAGAAAAAGAAAAAAGGAAAAAAAGAAAUUAAAAAGGAAAAAAAGAAAUUAAAAAGGAAAAAGAAAAAAGAAAUUAAAAUGGAAAAAGGAAAAAAAUAAAAAGGAAAAAAGGAAAAAUGAAAUUAAAAAGGAAAAAGAAAAAAGAAAUUAAAAAGGAAAAAGAAAAAAAGGAAAAAAAAUAAAUUAAAAAGGAAAAAAAAAGAAAAAAGAAAUAAUUGAGGGGUAUAUUGGACAUUUCACCCAAGGCCAAUUGCUAAUUUCCUGCGGAAAGGACCUAUUAGACGGAAAUUGAGACCUCAGGGACUUUUCAGAUUAAAUUGGAAUGUCAAGGACUGAAACGAUGA